CGGAGGAUGCAAGCGUUAUCCGGAUUCAUUGGGUUUAAAGGGUGCGUAGGUGGCUUUUUAAGUCAGUGGUGAAAUCCUGCCGCUUAACGGUAGAAUUGCCAUUGAUACUGAAGAGCUUGAGUACAGUUGAGGUAAGCGGAAUGUGUAGUGUAGCGGUGAAAUGCUUAGAUAUUACACAGAACACCAAUUGCGAAGGCAGCUUACUAAACUGUCACUGACGCUGAUGCACGAAAGCGUGGGGAGCGAACAGGAUUAGAUACCCUGGUAGUCCACGCCGUAAACGAUGAUCACUCGCUGUAUGCGAUACACAGUAUGCGGCCAAGCGAAAGCAUUAAGUGAUCCACCUGGGGAGUACGAUCGCAAGGUUG
rnacentral:rRNA from 1 species